rnacentral:rRNA from 1 species
GACGAACGCUGGCGGCGUGCCUAAUACAUGCAAGUUGAGCGCUGAAGGUUGGUACUUGUACCAACUGGAUGAGCAGCGAACGGGUGAGUAACGCGUGGGGAAUCUGCCUUUGAGCGGGGGACAACAUUUGGAAACGAAUGCUAAUACCGCAUAAAAACUUUAAACACAAGUUUUAAGUUUGAAAGAUGCAAUUGCAUCACUCAAAGAUGAUCCCGCGUUGUAUUAGCUAGUUGGUGAGGUAAAGGCUCACCAAGGCGAUGAUACAUAGCCGACCUGAGAGGGUGAUCGGCCACAUUGGGACUGAGACACGGCCCAAACUCCUACGGGAGGCAGCAGUAGGGAAUCGUCGGCAAUGGACGAAAGUCUGACCGAGCAACGCCGCGUGAGUGAAGAAGGUUGUCGGAUCGUAAAACUCUGUUGGUAGAGAAGAACGUUGGUGAGAGUGGAAAGCUCAUCAAGUGACGGUAACUACUCAGAAAGGGACGGCUAACUACGUG